AUUCUCUCUCUCUCUCUCUCUCUCUCUCUCUCUCUCUCUAUAUAUAUAUAUAUAUAUAUAUAUAUAGAGUUAGGCUGGUAUACUAUCGAUAACAUGAAAGUCUCCGUACUACCAAGUUGUUUUUAAUUAUGUGGCUUCCAAAUCGACGAUUGGCUCCGUUAAAUUUGAUCUACACUAUUAAAAAUAGUUAGAAACUAUUAAAAAAAAAUGUCACUGUUUAGAGUAAGGUCAGUAUUUUUGAUUUUGCAUUCAAGUUUUUUAUCAUUAUUUUUUAUAAGAUUUUUAUUUUCAGUCGUUCAUUUUUAGACUACUCGUUUGAUAGGUAAAUGAUGCCAAAAAAUUAUGAAAUUUAGUUUUCAAAUACUUUUAAUAAUGUAGAUCAAGUUUAACGAAACCGAUCGUUAAUUUGGAAGUUGCAUCAUUGAAAAUAACUUGGUAGCACGGAGGUCUCCAUGCUACCGAUAGUAUACCAUAUUAGCUCUCUCUCUCUCUCUCUCUCUCUCUCUCUCUCUCUCUCUCUCUCUCUCUCUCUAUAUAUAUAUAUAUAUAUAUAUAUAUAUAUCCUGCGUUCUAUGAGCAAGACUGCUGUGCUCUCAGGAGCACGGAGGCCUCCGUGCUCCUGAACCGUUUUCAAUGAUGAAAUUUUCGUCGAUAUAUAUAUCCUGCUUUCUAUGAGCAAGACUGUUGUGCUCUCAGGAGCACAGAGGCCUCCAUGCUCCUGAACCGUUUUCAAUGAUGAAAUUUUCGAAUCGACGAUCGACUCCGUUAAACUUGAUCUAGCGUAUUUGAAGUUUCUAUAAAAUAAUUUUUGCAAUUUUUUGAUAUCAUUUACCUAAUGAUCGAAAGGAUUCAAAAUCAAUCAUUUUUAAUGGUUGAUAUCUACCGUUUUCAAGUUUAACGGUGUAGAAGUAUUCAAAUUAGAUGAAAUUUUGAUACAAAAUUCUUUAUACUAUCUACAAUAAGAUCAAUAUUUCUAAUCGAAAAUUUUAGUGCUAUAUCAUCACUUUUUAUAGAAUUUUUAUUUUCAGCCGUUAAAAUUUAUUGAUUUUGAAUCCUUUCGAUUGUUAGGUAAAUGAUAUCAAAAAUUCGCAAAAAUUAUUUUCUAGAAACUUUAAAUACGCUAGAUCAAGUCUAACGAAGCCGAUCGUCGAUUCGAAAAUUUCAUCAUCGAAAAUAGUUUAGGAGCAUGAAAAGCACAGCAGUCCUUUUCUCUCUCUCUAUAUAUAAAUGCACUUACACU
rnacentral:lncRNA from 1 species